AGCUUUGCGCAGUGGCAGUAUCGUAGCCAAUGAGGUUUAUCCGAGGCGCGAUUAUUGCUAAUUGAAAGUUCCAGCCCUCGGAACACAUGCUUUAUUCUUCCGGAGAGGGCAGCCAGUCCCUUGCAACCAAGAGUCCACCAUGAGUCACUUAAUUACCAUAAACUCAGAUAUGAG
rnacentral:snRNA from 1 species